rnacentral:rRNA from 1 species
UAAAUGAAUUGAAUGGGGGCCGGCCCACCCAUGGGGCAUAGCGUUUUAUUUAAAUCGAAGCGACGAACCUUACCUGGGCUUGGCAUGAAGAGGCUGUCUCCAGAGAUGGAUAUUUCUCUCAUGGGACCUCCAGCACAGGUGCUGCAUGGCUGUCGUCAGCUCGUGUCGUGAGAUGUUGGGUUAAGUCCCGCAACGAGCGCAACCCUUAUCUUUAGUUGCCAGCAUGUUUGGGUGGGCACUCUAAAGAGACUGCCGGUGACAAGCCGGAGGAAGGUGGGGAUGACGUCAAGUCCUCAUGGCCCUUAUGUCCUGGGCUACACAC